UACGAAGGGGGCUAGCGUUGUUCGGAAUUACUGGGCGUAAAGGGCGCGUAGGCGGUGUGUCAAGUCAGGCGUGAAAGCCCCGGGCUCAACCUGGGAACCGCGCUUGAGACUGGCACGCUCGAGUUCGGGAGAGGAUGGUGGAAUUCCCAGUGUAGAGGUGAAAUUCGUAGAUAUUCGCAAGAACACCAGUGGCGAAGGCGGCUCACUGGCCCGGUACUGACGCUGAGGUGCGAAAGCGUGGGGAGCAAACAGG
rnacentral:rRNA from 1 species